CAUGCGCGGAGUACGAAACCUUCCGAUGAUCACUCGGAAUACGUCAUCAUACUCUACUUCUCCAAUAUGAAAGUAAACACGACAGCUCCGCUUCGGCGUGUUGUUUUUGUGUUGUUUGCAAUCCAAAUCAGUGCUGGAAUGAUGAAUGGGGAUGCUCCCAGUGUUGAUUCAGUGCAGCCUAGAUUUAACAUCCAAUCUGUUCCGUGAAGUAAUUUGCUGCAUCCUGAAUUGACCAAAGACCAGGUUAAUGAUUUAUUUGGUAGCAUUCUCAACAAUGAGGCACAAUUGCUUGUGGUGGAUCAGUUUGAAAUGGAAAUCAACAGACAAAAUGACUAUCUCAUACAAUAAGGUUUAUAUAGACAGCCAAUUAUUGGGGAUAGGAAUUGUUUAUUUAGGGCUGUAAGUAAUGCUCUUUUUGGAAAUCAGGAUCACCACCUUGAAUUAAGACUCUCAGCAGUAAAUGAAAUUGAACAAAAUUUGGAUCAUUUUUGUAUGUAUUUUCACAAUGACAACAAUAAUUUACCAAUGAAUGAGUUUGAAAUACAUAGGGAACUAAAUCAAUUAAGACAAUUAGGCACUUUUGCAGGUCAAGAAAGUAGUUUAGCUCUGUCUUGGCUUUUCAACAUAAACAUUCUGGUAACUGUUGGUGGUGAUGUUGAAAAUCCAAAUGUAGUGACUCUUGAACAUAAUUUUCGUAAUUCCGAAUCUCAAAUUCAUUUAGUAUGGACAAGAGGAAGGGGAGGGCAUUAUGAAACUGUAUCUGAAAAUCCAAUUAUAAAGAAAAGUAGUAAACAAGACCUUCAAAAUUCAACUUUCACCAAGAGUAAAUACAAUUGGAAAGAAAAUAGUUGUACCAGACAAUCUGACUUAAACAACAUACUAAAUUCAAAGACCAGACAAACUGACAGUUACAUAAAGGAGCACCAUUCCUAUGGGAAACGAGAAGAGUCUGACAUAAAGCCUGCAAAUAAAAGAAAUUGUGUUUUUGCCUGGUAAUAAAAAUUCAUACACUGAAGAUCCUUGAGUUCAAGUUUAUAGAUAACCAUGUGCUCAGACGGACUUGUGGUCACCUCCAGACUUUGUUGUUAUCUCCUUUGUGGGCGGCAAGGUAUGGAAGGUGGACCAAAACUUGAUCGAAACUACCCUUUGCUCAGAUGGACUAUUUUAACUGAUCCACUGAAUAGUGAUAACCAUUGUUUGUUAUGUUAUUACAGUUAUAAUGUUUGUUUUGUAAUUAUAUUCUCCAAAGAUAGUUUUUAUUUGUUAUUAAUUUUUACUAACUCUCUGUUUUUGUUUAUAUUGUUAAUUAUUUAACAAAGAACUAGUAAUUAGAAUAUUGAUAACUUUAUCUUAAUAUUUUUUAUAACAAAUUCACAAUUUCAGAAUCUAGUAACAUUGACUUAACCCUGGUAUGUUAAAUUUGAAUCAAAGUACUGAAGUACUGAAGGGAGUUGAUUUUAUCGAUUAUCAUUUAUUUUAAAAUCAACUUAUUUUGCAUGGCAAUUAGUUUCUAGUCUGUAUUU